rnacentral:rRNA from 1 species
AUUGAACGCUGGCGGCAGGCCUAACACAUGCAAGUCGAGCGGAGCGGCGGACGGGUGAGUAAUGCCUAGGAAUCUGCCUGGUAGUGGGGGAUAACGUCCGGGAACGGGCGCUAAUACCGCAUACUAUAAGAAGAGCAUAGUGCGGCUUAGCAAGUGGGUGUGGUAAAGGCCUACCAAGUCGACGAUCCGUAACUGGUCUGAGAGGAUGAUCAGUCACACUGUAACGGAGACACGGGCCGGACUCUGCCGGGAGGAGGCAGUGGGGAAUAUUGUACAAUUGGCGAAAGCCUGAUCCAGCCAUGCCGCGCGUGUUAAGAAGGUCUUCGGAUUGUAAAGCUCUUUAAUUUUUGAGGCGUUACCAACAGAAUAAGCACCGGCUAACUUCGUGCCAGCCGCCGCGGUAAUAC